rnacentral:Y_RNA from 1 species
GGCUGGUCUGACUGCAGUGGUGUUUACAACUAAUUGAUCACAACCAGUUAACAUAUUUUUUGUUCCUUCUUCUCUCCCACUGCCUCACCUGGCUAGCCUUAA